CGUUUUUUGGUUAUUAUAUAAAAAAUAUAACCUGCCCAAUGAUAUAUUAAAUGGCCGCAGUAUUUUGACUGUGCGAAGGUAGCAUAAUCAUUAGUUUAUUAAUUGUAGACUGGUAUGAAAGGUUGGAUGGAGAAAGGCUGUUUUUUAUAUAAUGAUGAAUUUUAGGUUUUUGUGAAGACGCUAAAAUUAAAAUAAAAGACGAGAAGACCCUGUUAAGCUUUACAUUUUAUUUAUUUAUAGGGUAAAAAUAAUGAUAAUGUUUUAUUGGGGCGAUAGUAUAAUAAAUUAACUUUUAUUUAAUUUUAAUAUUAAUAAAUAUAAAUUAGUUAAUGAUCCAAAAUUUUUGAUUAUAAGAACAAGUUACUACAGGGAUAACAGCGUAAUUUUAUUGGAGAGUUCUUAUUGAUAAUAGAGAUUGCGACCUCGAUGU
rnacentral:rRNA from 1 species